GAUGAACGCUGGCGGCGUGCCUAAUACAUGCAAGUCGAGCGAACGGACGAGGAGCUUGCUUCUCUGAUGUUAGCGGCGGACGGGUGAGUAACACGUGGAUAACCUACCUAUAAGACUGGGAUAACUUCGGGAAACCGGAGCUAAUACCGGAUGAUAUUUUGAACCGCAUGGUUCAAAAGUGAAAGACGGUCUUGCUGUCACUUAUAGAUGGAUCCGCGCUGCAUGAGCUAGUUGGUAAGGUAACGGCUUACCAAGGCAACGAUGCAUAGCCGACCUGAGAGGGUGAUCGGCCACACUGGAAGGUAGACACGGUCAAGACUCCUACGGGAGGGAGCAGUAGGGAAUCUUCCGCAAUGGGCGAAAGCCUUACGGAGCAACGCCGCGUGAGUGAUGACGGUCUUCGGAUCGUAAAACUCUGUUAUUAGGGAAGAACAUAUGUGUAAGUAACUGUGCACAUCUUGACGGUACCUAAUCAGAAAGCCACGGCUAACUACGUG
rnacentral:rRNA from 1 species